ACUAAUUUGGCAGAAAAAUUGUAUCAAAUUUAGAAUUUGAAAAUGGGUUACCAAUUAGUA
rnacentral:tRNA from 1 species